rnacentral:sRNA from 1 species
UUCUCGUGUCGUGCCGCUUUAUCGAAGUG